rnacentral:tRNA from 1 species
GGGAAGUUGGCUCAGUGGUAGAGUGCUUGCCUUGCAUGCAUGAGGUCCUGGGUUCGAUUCCUCAGCAUCACA